UUCAAGAACUUUCCAUUUAACUCUCAAUAAAAUUACACUUCAAAACUAAGUAUGCCACCCUAUGACAUGGUCGAGUGUCAUCGCGUUUAAAUUUUAAGUUUGAGCGCUAUAAAUCAUAAAUGUGUUGUCCAUGAGAUCCAUGUUUAUAACAAUUGCGGCAACAUUAAGUGUCACGUCAAUUGAAUUUCGAGUCAGCGAAUUAAAUAGUAAAUGUUUUGCCCAUCACUGCGAAUAAUGUACACUUAUUUACGAAGUUAUUUGGCACAUAAGAUUUAAGUUUCGAACCACAUUGAAAACUCAAGAAUUUUUCUUGUGUCCUUUAAUAAAAUAACACUUAAAAUUCAAGCGUCCUACGUGAUAGUAUUAUUAACUGUCAUUACAUAUGAAUGUUAAGAGUCAGAUUAUUUAAUCAUAUAUGUUUUGCCCAUGAAAUUCAUUAUUUUUGACUAUUUCGGCAACAUCAAGUGUGAAAACACUUAGAGACAAGUUGAUUUUUCACAACAUUGAUUUGGGGAAACAUGGCGGCAAAAAAUAUGCAGAAAUUAAUAUUUAAAUCGAGGUUUGCAUGGCGUAUUCAGAAUGUUUUGCAUGGUAAUUUAAUUGACGGACUUCAUAUAAACAGGACCAAAGAAGAGACGCGUUACGGGUAAACCAUUUUUAUUUCAUUUAAUAUUUAGGAAUAACACACUAACUUAUUUGUUCUUUCUUUUAAGAGAAUAUAUUUAGUGAUGAAUCAA